rnacentral:rRNA from 1 species
CAGCCGCCGCGGUAAUACGUAGGGUGCAAGCGUUAAUCGGAAUUACUGGGCGUAAAGCGUGCGCAGGCGGUUAUAUAAGACAGAUGUGAAAUCCCCGGGCUCAACCUGGGAACUGCAUUUGUGACUGUAUAGCUAGAGUACGGCAGAGGGGGAUGGAAUUCCGCGUGUAGCAGUGAAAUGCGUAGAUAUGCGGAGGAACACCGAUGGCGAAGGCAAUCCCCUGGGCCUGUACUGACGCUCAUGCACGAAAGCGUGGGGAGCAAACAGGAUUAGAUACCCCUGUUGUCCCUGUCUCUUAUAC